rnacentral:rRNA from 1 species
GAUGAACGCUGGCGGCGUGCCUAAUACAUGCAAGUCGAGCGAAUGGAUUAAGAGCUUGCUCUUAUGAAGUUAGCGGCGGACGGGUGAGUAACACGUGGGUAACCUGCCCAUAAGACUGGGAUAACUCCGGGAAACCGGGGCUAAUACCGGAUAACAUUUUGAACCGCGUGGUUCGAAAUUGAAAGGCGGCUUCGGCUGUCACUUAUGGAUGGACCCGCGUCGCAUUAGCUAGUUGGUGAGGUAACGGCUCACCAAGGCAACGAUGCGUAGCCGACGUGAGAGGGUGAUCGGCCACACUGGGACUGAGACACGGCCCAGACUCCUACGGGAGGCAGCAGUAGGGAAUCUUCCGCAAUGGACGAAAGUCUGACGGAGCAACGCCGCGUGGGUGAUGAAGGCUUUCGGGUCGUAAAACUCUGUUGUUAGGGAAGAACAAGUGCUAGUUGAAUAAGCUGGCACCUUGACGGUACCUAACCAGAAAGCCACGGCUAACUACGUGCCAGCAGCCGCCGCCG